GAUGAACGCUGGCGGCGUGCUUAACACAUGCAAGUCGAACGGAAAGGCUCCUGCUUGCAGGGGUACUCGAGUGGCGAACGGGUGAGUAACACGUGGGUGAUCUGCCCUGCACUUCGGGAUAAGCCUGGGAAACUGGGUCUAAUACCGGAUAGGACGAUGGUUUGGAUGCCAUUGUGGAAAGUUUUUCGGUGUGGGAUGAGCUCGCGGCCUAUCAGCUUGUUGGUGGGGUAAUGGCCUACCAAGGCGUCGACGGGUAGCCGGCCUGAGAGGGUGUACGGCCACAUUGGGACUGAGAUACGGCCCAGACUCCUACGGGAGGCUGCAGUGGGGAAUAUUGCACAAUGGGCGCAAGCCUGAUGCAGCGACGCCGCGUGGGGGAUGACGGCCUUCGGGUUGUAAACUCCUUUCGCUAGGGACGAAGCGCAAGUGACGGUACCUGGAGAAGAAGCACCGGCUAACUACGUG
rnacentral:rRNA from 1 species